GACGAGGUGGCCGAGUGGUUAAGGCGAUGGACUGCUAAUCCAUUGUGCUCUGCUGCGCGUGGGUUGAAUCCCAUCCUCGUCG
rnacentral:tRNA from 1 species